ACGGAGGGUGCGAGCGUUGUCCGGAAUCAUUGGGCGUAAAGGGCGCGUAGGUGGCUUCUCAAGCGUGCGGUGAAAGCCUGGGGCUCAACCCCGGGUCGGCCGUGCCGACUGUUAGGCUAGAGUGCUGUAGGGGCAGGCGGAAUUCCGGGUGUAGCGGUGGAAUGCGUAGAGAUCCGGAGGAAGACCGGUGGCGAAGGCGGCCUGCUGGGCAGAUACUGACACUGAGGCGCGACAGCGUGGGGAGCAAACAGGA
rnacentral:rRNA from 1 species